GAUGAACGCUGGCGGCGUGCCUAAUACAUGCAGGUCGAGCGAACAGAUAAGGAGCUUGCUCCUUUGACGUUAGCGGCGGACGGGUGAGUAACACGUGGGUAACCUACCUAUAAGACUGGAAUAACUCCGGGAAACCGGGGCUAAUGCCGGAUAACAUUUAGAACCGCAUGGUUCUAAAGUGAAAGAUGGUUUUGCUAUCACUUAUAGAUGGACCCGCGCCGUAUUAGCUAGUUGGUAGGGUAACGGCUUACCAAGGCAACGAUACGUAGCCGACCUGAGAGGGUGAUCGGCCACACUGGAACUGAGACACGGUCCAGACUCCUACGGGAGGCAGCAGUAGGGAAUCUUCCGCAAUGGGCGAAAGCCUGACGGAGCAACGCCGCGUGAGUGAUGAAGGUCUUCGGAUCGUAAAACUCUGUUAUUAGGGAAGAACAAAUGUGUAAGUAACUGUGCACGUCUUGACGGUACCUAAUCAGAAAGCCACGGCUAACUACGUG
rnacentral:rRNA from 1 species